GACUCGAUCCCAGGACCUGGAGAUCAUGACCUCAGCUGCUUCACUGACUGAUCCACCCAGGUGUCCUGAGUUUUGAAAUUUUUUAUGGGAUCAGAGAGAUCUUUGUGGUGUAACUUGGAGGAGCGCGGCAUCUGUCCAUGUAAGACCUUUCCAGGGUGUCUUGUAGCAGUUAGGAUGAAAUCCAAGCUUCUUACCUCAGCUCCUGGCUGUGGUCCCUGCCCACCUGCCUGACCUCAUCGCUCCAGGUUUGCCUGUGCUGUCACUUCCACAGCGCUUGGCUGGUUUCCAUUUAUUUCCUCUUCCCACCCUGGGCGUUUGCAAGUGCUGAUUCUUCAGUUUUGAAAGUUGUUCCCCCACAUUUUUCGCCUGGCUUUCUCUCAGCUGCUGCUUCUCCAGCUACCUUCGACAGGCCUUCCUGGAGUCCCUGCCCCCUCCCCCGGUCCCCUGGGCUGUGUCCCAGGGCUUACUUCAGCACAGAGCCUGGAAUGCAGAGGGGUUCAGUGGAUGUUUGGGGUAGGGAAGGCUGAUUCAUUGGGAUUGCACUGCUUGGUCCUGGCCUGUCUGCUCGAUGAGUUCAGUAUGGGCUUCGGGGUUCAGACUCACUCCCUUUGGUGUCCCUGACUGGGCUCCCCUUCCCAAGAAGAUCUUUAAGACCCACAGGCGAGCAGGGUGAAGCACAAAGUGGGGGGCUGCAAGGGAGAGGCAGGGGAGAAUAAGCUCUGUCCAGGAGGGAUUGGUGUGAAAUAGACAGGAGUAGGAAGUCCCCGGGGAGAGCCCUCCUCAUCCCUAACAGCCCACCCAGACUCGUUCUUUCCCUCGACACACACACACUGUCCUCUACCUGCUCGCCUCUCCAGCCCAUGCACAGCCUCUGAGAACAGGGUGCUUGCUACUCGGGACCUGUUGGGGCAACAGCUCCAGGCUGCACUGACAGGUUCCCUGGGCACCUGUGUAGCACUUUCCCCUCUCGGGACCCAGCAGCCCUGCCUCCAUUCUCUGUGUCCCCUCCUCCUGUUCCCUGGUGAAUGUCCAGGAAACUGGGGCCAACCAGGGGGAAGUCAGAGCAUCUUACACUCCCAAUGUGAAUGCGAGCGCAGGAGGGGUCAGCACACACCCCAAGUUGGCUUCUCUGUGCCUACUUCAUGAGCUGUCUGGGCAGAGAACCUGGCACCCAGCAAAGUCAGUCCCCUGAACCCAGGUCAGUGUGGGAGGGGGACUUCAAAAGCCCUACCCUGUACCUUCUCAGGCUGCAAGGAGUGCCCGGUUGACUUCUAGAGAGACCAAGCCCCCAGGAACAGAUAAUUAGCAGUGCACAGGAGGCGGAGCCAACUCAGAAAGACCUGGGUUCCAAUCCUGCCCUUCCUGGCUGUGUGACCUUGAACAAAUGAGUGAACCUGUCUGAACCUUACUUUCCUUAUCCAGAAAAUACAGUAAAUAUUUAUUUCACGUGGCUGUAGGAAUGUGAAUUGCCUGGCACAGGGCGUGGUACCUAGUGAAUGGCAACAGGUGAACAGGGCUUCUAGAUAUAUUAGAGAAGUUGUUCUCAGAGUGUGGUCCCAGACCAGCAGCACCCUGGAAGCUGGCAGAAAUGCGGACUCUCAGACCCUACCCCAGACCCACUGAAUCAGAAGCUCUGAGGGCAGGGCUCAGCAAUCUGUUUCAACCAGAUAGAUGAAGUUGGAGAAUCACGUGCAGACCGUCAGAUUCUGAAGUCUAGAACACAUCAAAAUCACCUGGGAGCUUGUUGAAAAUACAGAUUCCUGGGCUCAAAGCCAAGGAUUGAGCAGGUGCAUCUGGCAUCCAGAUUCCACAUCGCACUGGGCUUUCUGCAGGAGCAAGGAGGUCUUCAUAGAGCCCAGCCCAAGGGAUCUAAUGUCAGGUGACAGGGCAUGGCACUACUCCUCAGUGGGAUCUGCAUGUGUUGGGGGGGUCACCUCGUCUGCCAGGCCGUAACUACCCCUUAGAGGUGAGAGCGUCUUGGGAGCAAGAUGAGAUUUUCCUGGUGGGAUUCCUGGGGCAGGGGGCAGGCCAGGUGGAUGAGACCCAUGAGCCAGGCCUGUUGAGCCUCUAAGCUGAUACUAUAAGGGCUACAGGGAGGAAUCCUCCUCUUCCAGAGCCCCAUUGGGCACCCCACAGUUUUGAGGGUGGACACGGAGGAGAUCUGGAGAGGAGGGACAUGGUCUCAGGACCAUCGAGCUCAUUGCAUGGAUGGUUCCAGCACCAAGUGGGGCAGAGGUGAUUCUGGGAGUGGAGUGAUAGAAGCUGACCUGGGGUCUGGAGAAGAGGAGCAAAGGAUAUGGAGGGCCAGUCUCCUGGAAGUGGAGGAGGGGAGGGAUACCGAGGCUGCAUUGGGUGCGGGGGGACACCCUGGACUGGGACCCCUGGCCUGAAGGUGGGGAAGGAAGAGGAGAGUUUGAUGGGAUUGGGGGACUCUGGUCUCGGUGCCCAGUGUUCCGGCUUAGCUUCGGGCUGUGGUGGGGCUCUCUUGGAAUGCUGCCUUCCCCUCUUUCUCCCUUUGAGCCUGUACCCUGUCUUACCUCAGUUCCUUGCUCACUGGAUGACUCCCAAAGCACAGAACCUGCUCCAUGCCUCCAGCAAUCCCUGCAUCCACUUUGUGCUUCUAGGAUUUUUUCUAUUGCCAAGGAGCAGCCGGGAUCUCAGGCUCAACUCUUUAAAGUUGCAUCACAGUACCUGCUGCUUCCUGCGGUGCCUGGUGGGCCUGGCUGUUGUGGGCACAUCUGUACGGACAUCCUGCGCUGCUGCUCAAGGCUGGGAGUGAGGCUUGGGGGGCUGGAUGGGGAGGCUGCCUUGACCAGUGGGGUAGGGAGAUGCUGGAACCCUGGGGAGAGGGGAGGGUCCUGGGCAGGAGAGAGGAAGGGGCUGGUUGCAGGAGAUGCCAAGAGGAGGAGACCAGGCUUUGGGUAGAGGCAAAAGAUUGAACUGUGUGUGUGUGUGUGUGUGUGUGUGUGUGUGCGCGCACGCGCGCGCAGUUUUGGGGAGGGGAUGUUCUGUCUGGAACAUAGGCUGCUCAGAGAUCAAUUUAUAUAGAACCCCCCCACCCCGCUUUAAAAAUGAGAAGACUGAGGCCCAAAAGGAGACAGAUGGUGUUGCUGGAGGGGGCUGGGGUUGGGAGGCCGGUCCUUUGGCUUCUGGCCCCAGGCCCAGUCCUGUGUGGGUUGUGAGUCCCUCCUAUUCUUCUCUCUGUCCCCAAGAGCAGACUUUGGACCUGGGGCUGCAAAUGUGGUAUCUGUGCACACACACACUUCUUCAGCCGCCCCACGUGGUGUAGAAGGUGUGGAAGGCCUCUUUCUCUGCCAAGUUGACUUCUUGCUGGGCUACCCAGUUCUUCCUCGAAGCCCGUGCAUCCCCCCAGCCCAGCACCAACUCAACUCCAGCUCUCCGCUCAGCCCGUUGGCCCCAGAGCAACAAGCCUUUCUUCAGCCUAGUAUGUGGAUAGGGAAGCUGUUUGCUUUGACAACUCUUUGGAGCCUGGGGGACCCCUCUCAGGACAAAAAUGGCCCUUCAAGACCAAAUCCUUCCCACUAUGGGGACACUGCCAAGGUUUCUGCAGCUACCAGGACAGUAAAGAAAAUGAACAGUUCCAACACCAAAGGAUCUCUGGUAUUACCCUUUUAUGACCAUGCCCACUUCCCUCCCUCCACCUCCUCCACUUUAUCCCUAACUCUUGGCAAUCACUAAAUCUGUCUUCCGUUUCUAUAUUUUGGUCAGACAAAUGGAACCAUGUGGCAUGUGAUAUUUUGGGAUUGGCAUUGAUAAUAAUAAUAAUAUAAUAAUAUCACAUAUUAUUAUAUAUAAUAAUAUAAUAAAUAUUAUUAUUAUUUUGCUCAUCAUCACCUACCCAAUUCAUCCAAGUUGUCAUAAAUCAAUAAUUUGUUCCUUCUGAUUGCUGCGUAGUAUUCUGUGGAAUGGAUAUACCAUAAUUUAACUCUUUUUACCUGGCGAAGGACAUCUGGGUUGUUUCCAAUUCUUGGCUAUUAUGAAUAAAACUACUAUAAAGAUGUGUAAAGGGUUGGAAGUGCCAAGGGAUAUGAAAUUGGCUACCACAUUCUUGGGACCACAGGUGCUUACUGGGUCCAUCAUUGUUUCUAAUGGCUUUUCAGUGGACAGAAUUAGAAUAUACUUUUCGGGACACCUGGGUGGCUCAGUUGGGUAAGUGUCUGCCUUCGGCUGGGGUCAUGAUCAGG